rnacentral:misc_RNA from 1 species
GGAUGAAGAACGCAGCGAAAUGCGAUAAGUAAUGCGAAUUGCAGAAUUCAGUGAGUCAUCGAAUCUUUGAACGCACAUUGCGCCCUGUGGUAUUCCGCAGGGCAUGCCUGUUCGAGCGUCAUUUCAACCCUCAAGCUCUGCUUGGUGUUGGGCCCUGCCCGCUGCGGCCGGCCCUAAAGACAGUGGCGGUGCCGCCUGGCCCUGAGCGUAGUACAUCUCUCGCUCCAGUGCCCGGUGGUAGCCUGCCAGAACCCCAACUCUCGUGGUUGACCUCGGAUCAGGUAGGGAUACCCGCUGAACUUAAGCAUAUCAAUAAGCGGAGGA